GAUUAACGCUAGCGGCAGGCAUAAUACAUGCAAGUUGAACGGCAGCACAGGUAGCAAUACUGGGUGGCGAGUGGCGCACGGGUGCGUAACACGUAUGCAACCUACCCUAUACAUGCGAAUAACCUUUAGAAAUGAGGGCUAAUACGCCGUAGUAUUACAGCUGGGCAUCUAUUUGUAAUUAAAGAUUUAUCGGUAUAGGAUGGGCAUGCGUCCCAUUAGUUAGUUGGUAAGGUAACGGCUUACCAAGACGAUGAUGGGUAGGGGAUCUGAGAGGACUUACCCCCACACUGGUACGGAGACACGGACCAGACUCCUACGGGAGGCAGCAGUAAGGAAUAUUGUGCAAUGGCCGCGAGGCUGACCCAGCCAUGCCGCGUGCAGGAAGACGGCCUUAUGGGUUGUAAACUGCUUUUAUACGGGAAUAAUAGAGUGUACGCGUACAUUUAUGCAAGUAUCGUAUGAAUAAGCAUCGGCUAACUCCGUG
rnacentral:rRNA from 1 species